rnacentral:lncRNA from 1 species
UAGUGGAUUCGUUUUCACGUUUCCCUAGGAAGUAUACCCUCGAUAUGUCCAUCCUAACCGAUGACGGAUAUAUUCUUCCCUUGCUUUGAGUUUAUCCUUGAUAUGUUCAUCUUAACCGAUGACAGAUAUUCUCAUCUUUAGUAUUCUACCUAGUAAAAAGGUAGUUGUAAUCCCUAUUUUGUUUCCUAGAGAGUUAAUCCUUGACAUGUU